rnacentral:rRNA from 1 species
GUGGGGAAUAUUGGACAAUGGGCGAAAGCCUGAUCCAGCCAUGCCGCGUGUGUGAAGAAGGUCUUCGGAUUGUAAAGCACUUUAAGUUGGGAGGAAGGGUAGUAACCUAAUACGUUGCUACUUUGACGUUACCGACAGAAUAAGCACCGGCUAACUUCGUGCCAGCAGCCGCGGUAAUACGCAGGGUGCAAGCGUUAAUCGGAAUUACUGGGCGUAAAGCGCGCGUAGGUGGUUCAGUAAGUUGGAAGUGAAAUCCCCGGGCUCAACCUGGUAACUGCUUUCAAAACUGCUGGGCUAGAGUACGGUAGAGGGUGGUGGAAUUUCCUGUGUAGCGGUGAAAUGCGUAGAUAUAGGAAGGAACACCAGUGGCGAAGGCGACCACCUGGACUGAUACUGACACUGAGGUGCGAAAGCGUGGGGAGCAAACAGGAUUAGAAACCCCUGUAGUCC